AUGACAUCCGCAUCCACCGCAAAACUUCAUCUCCUGCAGCGAGUUAUCGACAGGUACUCCUGUGUCAUGGCAUCUUCAUCUCUAUCAGUCGUGUUGCUCCUGUGCCUGGCCACAGUGGCGUCGGCGCAGCUGUCGACGACAUUCUACGACAAGUCGUGCCCUUUGGCUCUUGAAAAAAUCAAGACCGGCGUGGAGACGGCCAUCAACAGCGACCGCCGCAUGGCCGCGUCGCUGCUCCGGCUGCACUUUCAUGACUGCUUUGUCCAGGGCUGUGACGCGUCCGUUCUGCUGAAUGAGACUAGCGUGGGUGGCAACGAGCGGGGCGCGUUUGGGAACGUGGGAUCGCUGCGUGGCUUCGAGGUCAUCGAACAAAUCAAGAAGGAUGUGGAAGCCGUGUGCAAAAAGCCCUACAGCAACAACCCCGUCGUCUCCUGCGCCGACAUCCUCGCCGUCGCCGCUCGCGAUUCCGUCGUCGCGUUGGGAGGGCCGACGUGGGAGGUUCAACUGGGGAGGAAGGACUCCGCCAACGCUACCGUGGCUCUGGCCAACGCGAACCUGCCUGGGCCGUUCUUGGACGUCGCCGGCCUCAAGGCCAGCUUCGCCGGCAAGGGGCUCAACUUGACCGACAUGGUCGCCCUCUCUGGCGGCCACACCAUCGGGAUGGCGCAGUGCAAGAACUUCAGGAGCAGGCUCUACACCGAGCCCAACAUCGACUCCACCUUCCAGGACAAGCUCAACGACACCUGCACCCCGUCUGGCAACGACAACAGCCUGGCCCCGCUGGACGACACGGCGACCCCCCCGACCCAGGACAUGUUCGACAACGCCUACUUCCUCAACCUCCAGUCCAACAAGGGGCUCCUGCACUCCGACCAGGCGUUGUACAACGCCACCGCAACCAGCGGUGACACCGAAGUCAUCGUUAACAGCUUCGCUUCUGCCCAGGCCGUGUUCUUUAAGGCCUUCGCCUCGGCCAUGGUGAAGAUGUCCAACCUCGGCCCGUCGCCUGGCUCUCCUCAGGGCCAGAUCAGGAAAGAGUGCUCCAUCCCCAACUAA
rnacentral:rRNA from 1 species